rnacentral:rRNA from 1 species
UAAGCAUAUCAAUAAGCGGAGGAAAAGAAACCAACAGGGAUUGCCUUAGUAACUGCGAGUGAAGCGGCAAAAGCUCAGAUUUGAAACCUGCUAUCUUCGGUAGCCGGAUUGUAAUCUGGAGAGACAUCUUCUGGCGGGCAGCCAGUCUAAGUUCCUUGGAACAGGACGUCGGAGAGGGUGAGAAUCCCGUAUCUGGCUGGCCCGACCCGCCUUGUGAAGUGUCUUCGACGAGUCGAGUUGUUUGGGAAUGCAGCUCAAAAUGGGUGGUAAAUUUCAUCUAAAGCUAAAUAUUGGCGAGAGACCGAUAGCGCACAAGUAGAGUGAUCGAAAGAUGAAAAGCACUUUGAAAAGAGAGUCAAAAAGUACGUGAAAUUGUUGAAAGGGAAGCGCUUGAGACCAGACUCGGGCUUAGGUGAUCAGCGGUGCUUUUGCUCCGUGCACUCGCCUAUGCCCGGGCCAGCAUCGGUUGCGGCGGUGGGAUAAAGGUCUGGGGAAUGUGGCUCCUCCCGGGGAGUGUUAUAGCCUCAGGCGCAAUGCCACCUGCUGCGACCGAGGACCGCGCUUCGGCUAGGAUGCUGGCGUAAUGGUCUUCAGCGACCCGUCUUGAAACACGGACCAAGGAGUCUAACAUCUAUGCGAGUGUUCGGGUGUAAAACCCCUGCGCGUAAUGAAAGUGAACGGAGGUGGGAACCCUUCGCGGGGUGCACCAUCGACCGAUCCUGAUGUCUUCGGAUGGAUUUGAGUAGGAGCAUAGCUGUUGGGACCCGAAAGAUGGUGAACUAUGCCUGAAUAGGGUGAAGCCAGAGGAAACUCUGGUGGAGGCUCGCAGCGGUUCUGACGUGCAAAUCGAUCGUCAAAUUUGGGUAUAGGGGCGAAAGACUAAUCGAACCAUCUAGUAGCUGGUUCCUGCCGAAGUUUCCCUCAGGAA